AUAUAUCGUCACCUGAAUGCAGAACUAGCUUAACUCACAUUUAAGAUAUUUUACAGGAGAGCGAUUUUAAUGUUUCAAUGUGUCAUAAUUUAAACAGUAUUUGGUUAAAUGGUGAAAUUAUCUCAGUAUAGUAUAUUAGGAACCUUUUAAAUGUGUUAUUAGGAAUGAGACGGAUUAAUGAUAAUUUUUUUAUAAAAAGUGUGACUUAGGAUACUACUGACUUAUAAAUUCUACUGCAGAACUAUUUUAGGAUAGUUCUGCAUUCAAGUGACGAUAUCUCGGCGGCAACUUCCAAGUACAUUCCCACCAUAAACCACUCAAUUAAAUAACUUUAUUACACCUCAAACAUUUAUCGUUUCCAUAUUGUUCUGGCGUGUUAUUUUAUAACACCUGCAUCAACGACGCAACAGUGAAACAAUCACUGUUAACGAUUUGUAUUGUUUGUCCGAAAAUAAAAAACCAAAAAA
rnacentral:lncRNA from 1 species